rnacentral:lncRNA from 1 species
CACCCCCACCAAUUACCUCCCUACAUUAGCGACCCGAACAGGCCCUAAUCCUCUGCCGUAAUUCGCGUCUUCCAGACCUUCCUAUCUAGGGUCAUGUCCUCGGUGAGCUGUAACUGUUCCAUGUCCCGCCUAAUCACCUCACCCCAGUACUUCUUCGGUCUACCCCUACCCCGUCUAAAACCAUCCAACGCUAGCCUCUCACACCUACGGACCGGGGCAUCCAUGCCCCUCCUCUUCACGUGUCCGAACCAUCUCAAUCGUGCUUCCCGCAUCUUACACUCCACUAAAGUCACACCAACCUUCUCCCGGAUAGUCUCAUUCCGAACUCUAUCCCCUCGGGUCAGUCCACA